UCGUACCUAACCCUAGGUGAAAACCGAUGUUAAUGUUUGAUGUGUUAUUAUAUUAUAUAUUUUAUUUAUAUAAAUAUAUAUACAUCCAUUGGGCGAAAGGGAAACCGGUUCCUAUUCCGGUACCCGGCAGCGGAACCGUUAAUAAGUCGGGCCCUCGCAAGAGUGUUCGUCGGGGUAACCCAAAAAGGCCUGGAGACGCCGUCGGAAGAUCCAGGAAGAGUUUUCUUUUCUGCAUGAGCGUUCGAGUUACCCGGUAAG
rnacentral:rRNA from 1 species